ensembl:lncRNA
AGGUGCGCUGGAACCCCUUCAGAAGUGCUAAACUUCCGAAUUAGAUCUGACUUCUGAGUACUUCGACACCAAACGCACAACCCUACUAUUUACUUCUCCAAAGUUGCAUUUGCAGUGUAGAAGUGUAUUAUUUUUCUGAACAUUUAACUUUAACAGUACCUGCAAUAGAUCCAUCAUUUAGAUUGUUGUAUUGCUUUUUCUUUCAGCUUUUGAUAGAACCAUCUCAACUACAGCCUCCCAUUCAUCUUUUAAAAGGAGAAGGAGAUAGGCCUUCCGUAUAUCAUGCAAAACCAGAGAAGGCAAGUCGUGAAACGACUCCUAGAUCGCUGUCACCUGAUCAUGAACCUAGUGUCUAUAAAGCUCAGCAGCCCCCUGAAGAAAUUAAAGGGGCCCAAAUGAUACAAGAAGACAAAGAUAUCCAAGUGGAAAUGCCUGUUGACCAGGUAGAUUUAAUGUAAAUGUCUUUUUUCCUGAUUUAGAAUACUUUACUACCUGAUUGUGUUUGGAAACAAAAGGAAGGCAGAAACACCUUAGUGCAUUUAGAAUAUCAGAAUUCUACAUGCAUUUACAUUCCAUUAACCAGGCUCCAAGCUGCCUCAAAGAAAAUAUUUCUGGUGAUGAGAAUUUUCUUUCCUGGGCUACAGCCUUCAGGACAUGUUCUCUUGAACGUUCUUCAACUAUUAGAGUUAUUUUUGGAGUGGAAUGAAAGGUCGGCAAAGGAAUUGGGGGUAGCAGAGGACCAUGGCCUCUUCUACAUGGCCAUAUAAAAUCCAGAUUAUCUGCUUUGAACUGGAUUAUAUGGCAGUGUAUGCUCAUAUAAUCCAGUUGAAAGCAGAUAAUGCAGAUUAUCUGUUUGGAUAACUUGGAUUAUAUGGUGGUGUAGAAGAGGCCUAUGUAACCACAUUAGAUCAGGUCACAUGUGACUUGUUGAAGACCAGUACUAUAUAUGAAAAUAUUUUAGAUUCAUUAUCACAAUGUCUUAAAAAUAAAUUUAGUUAUGAACUUAUUUAGUUUUAGUAGUGAUGACUGUAUGUGAGAUAAAAUGAUUUAUUUAUUACUAAGAAGGUUUUUAAUCAACUUUUCAGUGAGCAAACAGGAUUUAACAUUCUGUAGCGUUCCGUUAUGCCUGGAAAUGAUGCAGUGGAGGAUUUGAGAGGGAAGGGGGGAAUGUGCCGAUGCAUGGGAGGGAAUGUGGCCACCCCCUACCAAGAUCUUGGGGUUUAGGGCCUCUGUUUGGUUCUUUCAGACAGGGCUUUUGGCCUGUCUGGAAUGGCCCUAAGGCACUUCUGAGCACAAACAGCAGCACUUUGUUCUUACCUAGAGGUUGGGGUUUUUAAAAAAUCCAAAAUACAUUGCAGAAGAGGGGAAAACCCUUUGAAAACACAGAACCUUCAUAAUAAGAGUUUAGAAUCAUGUACAUUUAAAAAUAAGGCAAAUUGAGCUGGGUCUCCAAAGUCCUUAGUGAGCAAAGACACAGUUGACAUCUAUGAUUGACCAGUAAUCUGUAUGAUUAUAAAAACUGAGUAUUUAUUGGACAGAUCCCUACCCAAUUUUCUUCAUCUGCCUAUGGUCUAUAGAGGUCUCUGUAGAUUCAAAAAUAUCCGGAAAUUCCAAUAGUUAAUAAUUGAGGCAUUCUUUCACGAGAGAUCUGGCUUUUUGCAAUACAAUUGGCUCUCCAUAUCUAUGGAUUCUUUAUCCUUUGAUUCAACUAUCCACAGCUUGAAAGUACCCAAAUAAUGGUAAAGUGAAAACUUUGAUUUCAUCAGUUUACAUAAGGGCAUUAUUUUAUAAUGCUAUUGUAUAUAAUAGAUUUUUUUGGUAUCUACAAGGAUCGUGAAACAAACCCCAAACGGUAACAAGGAAUCACUGUAAUUUGGAUAGCCCAUUGUUACCUGCAUGAAGGUUUUAUAAUAUAGUUUGUAAACUUGGGACAGUAUGCAUUAAUAUCAGUGCCAGAGUGGUAUGGUGGUUUAAGCAUUGGAGAUCAGGGUUCAAAUGUUUGCUAAGCCAUGGAAAGCUACAGGAUGAUCUUGGGCAAGUCACACUUUCUCAGCCUCGGGUCCUAUCUACUGUGCCGUAUACUUUAAUGUAGUUUCAUAAUGCAGUUAUAUAAUGAGCUGCAUGACAUGGCAGUGUAGACUCACAUAAUACAGUGCAGUGAAGUUAAACCGCAUUAUGUGAUUGGGUAGAUUGAACCUCAGAGGAGGGUAAUGUCAAUAGAAAAGGAAAUGGCUGAUUAUUUUUCUUGAUUGUCGAUAAAAUUAUGUAAGAAAGCUUCUGUUUUAUUUCUUUUUUGAAAAUUUUAAAUAGAAUUUAUUUUACCCCAGGUUCCAGCUGAGGUUGUUCAAGAAGAAGACAUUUAUUCAAAUGUUGGGGAUGUCGAUGAGCAGGUUAGUUUUGUGUUUACAAUCUUGGGGAGCAAUAUUUGAAAAUUGAAAUGGAACCUUAAUCAUUAGUCCAAUUUGUUAAAGAAAAACAAUAAUGAAUCCUAAUAACCAAAACCACUCAAACUUUAGCAUCUUAAAGAUUGUAUCCCAAGCCUCUCACUACUUUUCUCCCAAAUGAAAUGACAGCAUGUUUUCAGAUGGACAGAGGCUGAUACGCUUACUAGAUCUUGAUGCCUAGGCUAUGGUCGACAGGACUGUUUGUUAGCUUUCUCUCCUGAUUUAAAAUGUAGUUUUAGUCAACAUUUAAAGUUAUAGUUUAUAAUAGAUAUAUUUUCUUUACAGUAUAGCUGCACAGCAAACAAAAUAGAGGAAUUCUUUCUUAUGUGACACCAGUAAUAACUUUAAAAUGAUAGAAUCUUAAAUACUCAGAGGAUCGAUUGAUAGGAUAUGAGAGUGUCUUAAGGUAUCUCACUCUUUUGGCUCAUUCUAAGAAGUUGCAAUCUCAGAUAGAUUUGUGAAUGUGAAUCAGUAGAAGCCAAAAUACCAUUGGAGUGGCAUGUGAUUGCUUUUUGUCCUGCCCUUCUCGCCUGCCUCUUUCUCCAACUCACAAGAGCCAUCUGUGGUUUUGCAUUAUUGCAUGAUUGUACCCAGCACUUGGGUUGCAAAAGGUCACCCAUAAUCUCAGGAUAGUGACCUGGGUCAGGUCAGAAAGAUGUGGAAAAAUAAAUGGGAGUAUGAUGGUUUGCAAGACUCUCAGUCAUUGUGCCCCACUUUAAGCAUUACUUUCCUGGCACAUCAGUUCAAAAGAUUAGAGUGUAAAUUGUAGGUUUAGAAAGAAAAGGUUCUCUGUUUAUUGUAACCUGACAUCUGCAAUUAAAUUGGAUAUGACAUAGGGAGAACAUAACUUGAAUGGCCAGUAAUGGCAAGGCAAAUGCCUUUCACUAUUCCUAGCAUGUGGAAUUCAGAGGUGGGUUAUUUUUUUGUUUGUGGACCU